rnacentral:rRNA from 1 species
AUGCCGGCGCCGCCGGCGACACAAGUGCCUCAAACAGAAAUUUUGGAAAACCAUGUUAGCAACUUGAAUCUUCUGAGCUCGAAUUGCCGAGGGUGUGGAAAUUCUCGUACAAUACGGGAUCUUGUGAGCUUGGUGCAGGUUCAUUCUCCUACUAUCGUCUUUCUUUGUGAAACUAGGCAAAGGAAAGAUAGGAUGAAAAGAUAUCGAUCUCGCUUAGGUCUAAGUGGUUUCGAAGCAGUCAAUAGCAAUGGUCUUAGUGGUGGCUUAGCUCUUUUCUGGCAUGAAUUGGUACAACUUGAUGUAAAAGAUACGAAUGGACGAUAUAUUGAUGCCUAUGUGAGUGCUGCGACGGGGGAGCCACCUUGGCGGCUUACCUACGUCUAUGGAGAACCGCGGACGGAGGACCGACAUCGCAUG